UGGAUAGUCAGAGCAUACGACACUUUACACGUCAUUUCGAUUUGACGCUCGCCGUCAAGCUAAACGGUGACCCGAAGUAAAGGGGUCAUCACCGUCAAACUCUCCGUUUGUCCCCAUUGUCCGUACGAACGUCAAAUCACGGCGGCGUUCGGCCAGCUAUUAUCUGAGCUCGCGAGUGAGACUGCAGUUAAAAUCCAGUGAAAAUAUCGUUCUCGAGAAAAUAAAAAUAAAAAAAGAAAAAAGAAUUAAAGAAAUUUAAAAGUGAAAAACCUUAAAUCGUGUGGUAUAAGCAGUAAACAGAAGUGGGCAGGCCCAAGGACCCGGGCGAUCGACACGUGUCGCCACGUCAAAUCGUGAGGUAGAGAGAGAAAGACGGUCUCCCUCUCUCUGACACGGCCUCGCUUCGAAGGCGCAGAGGCAGGCGGAGUGAGUGAGUUAAUAAAGCUGCCGCAGCGAAAAGAGCGGGAGUUCCUGUAUUUAAUGAACUAAUUAAUUCUUCCAAUAAUACCCCUACACACUACUUGACAUUUCUACCAUACCCACAUAAAAGGUUUUCCAUCUUUUACGCCUUUGGCAUUACUUUCGUGUCGCUUCUUUUUUCAUACCAAUCAAAUGGCUAUCUUUUUUUUAAAAAUAAAUAAAUGCUUUUUUAAGGUAAAUGCUUCCUUUCUGAGAGGAAACUGCCCCAUACAAAAAAAGACAAUCAAAUACUCAGCAUGCAAAUACUGGUUUUGCAACGAUUUUAGACGUAGGUUAAUUUCCCCAAUUAGGGUAACACUGUGGGUGAGGCAAUGAAAGAUAAUGGCUAGCUAGCAUAUCCACCCAAGUGCUCCAUAAUGGUGGCAAUGGCCGGGCUUGGGCGUCCCCAGCUUUGGCCCUG
rnacentral:lncRNA from 1 species